AUACGUAGGGGGCAAGCGUUAUCCGGAAUUACUGGGCGUAAAGGGUGCGUAGGUGGUCUGCCAAGUUAGGGGUCAAAGGCAACGGCUCGACCGUUGUUCGCCCCUAAAACUGGCGGACUUGAGUUCUGGAGGGGAAAUCGGAAUUCCUAGUGUAGCGGUGAAAUGCGUAGAUAUUAGGAGGAACACCAGUGGCGAAGGCGGAUUUCUGGACAGAUACUGACACUGAGGCACGAAAGCGUGGGGAGCAAACAGGAUUAGAUACCCUGGUAGUCCACGCUGUAAACGAUGAAUACUAGGUGUGGGGGGACUGACCCCCUCCGUGCCGCAGUUAACACAAUAAGUAUUCCACCUGGGGAGUACGAUCGCAAGAUUGAAACUCAAAGGAAUUGGCGGGG
rnacentral:rRNA from 1 species